rnacentral:lncRNA from 1 species
CAUGGCAAUGUUUUCUUCUGAAAACAGCUGCCGAACCUUGUCUUUUUUCUAGUUUCCAAAAAAAUCAGAGGCGAUGGGGCAAGGUGGGUCUUUGAAUGUCAGAUAGUGCGCGAGGUACAUUGGUAUACAGUAAUUUCCGCAUAAUUCAUAUUCAUAAUUCACAGUAAGGAAACCUGAAAGUUGCUACCGGGUACUAAUAAAUGAAAGGUGGGGCGGGCUGCUGUGGGGGCGGGGCCUUGUGAGCCAGUGCCUGGACUCGCACAGCACGUCACAAAUGGAAGGGCGGCGCGUGGGGGGAACUCAAGGCCUGAUUGAUUCCUCCUAAGCAGGGCGUGAUCUGGUUGGCAGGGCAACCGACCUUCAGUUAGUGCCUUCAGUGGGUGCCUUCAGUUGGUGGCAUUUGGUUGCCUUUCCUGGGGACAGGUGGCAGGUGCUCAGCUCUGCAGGGUGGGGGCAAUUGAAGGCCCAAGCUGCCCGAGAAGAGCGGAGUUGCCCCAUGGGGACCACGCUGGCCUGUAGCAUGUGCACCAAAGCCAGCCCCAGGCAGGGCCCCCACAGGGCUUCUGCGGAGCCAUCCUGAGGCUUUGACAUCUAUGAGUGGGCGGCCAGCAAAGGCGCAGGCCCCAGCACAGAGGAGCAGAGGCGGCCGGAACACCCUGUCCCUUGAUACCAGCCCCAAGCAGAGCCACCUCAGGAUAAGGUGUUUGGAGCCGUCCUGCAGCUCUGAGAUCCACGAGGUGGCGGUGGGAGUAGCACCAGACUCCACUGAUUUGGAGUCUGCCCUGUCUGAUUCAGGAGACAUGACUAGCAGCACAUCGGCACCAGAAGACGCCAGAAGGACCUAUAAAAGGCAUCACCAAGCCCAAUGGACAGAUGCCCCAGGCUGCACAUUCUGUCAGUGCUGUUCUGGAAAAGGCCCAAACACAUGCUGAAACAUCGAAGGAUAAGAAGCCAGCCCUCGGGAACCGGCAGGAGCACUCUGGGCCCCGCACGGCCCCAAGUCCAGCCUGCCCCGCCUCCUCUGGUGCAGAGGUCCAGGGAUACCAGCAGCAGCCCCGCCACGCCCCUCCAAGGCCAAGAACACAGGCGGCAGGGGCUUCCCCUCCCUGCCAGACUACUUCCUGCCGCCACAGCCACCACCCUUGGACGACCCAGAGCUCCCGCCGCCCCUGGACUUCGUGCUCCCUCCCCCCGCGGUCGCCAAGAGGCCUCCUAAUGCCCCACCCCCGCAAGAGACACGAAGCAUCAAUGUUCAGAAGCAGCAAAUAAA